rnacentral:rRNA from 1 species
UACGGGGGGGGGCAAGCGUUGUUCGGAAUUACUGGGCGUAAAGGGCUUGUAGGUGGCCAACUAAGUCAGACGUGAAAUCCCUCGGCUUAACCGGGGAACUGCGUCUGAUACUGGAUGGCUUGAGUUCGGGAGAGGGAUGCGGAAUUCCAGGUGUAGCGGUGAAAUGCGUAGAUAUCUGGAGGAACACCGGUGGCGAAGGCGGCAUCCUGGACCGAUACUGACGCUGAGGAGCGAAAGCCAGGGGAGCAAACGGG